rnacentral:rRNA from 1 species
CCUACGGGAGGCAGCAGUAGGGAAUCUUCCGCAAUGGGCGAAAGCCUGACGGAGCAACGCCGCGUGAGUGAAGAAGGUCUCCGGAUCGUAAAACUCUGUUAUUAGGGAAGAACAAAUGUGUAAGUAACUAUGCACGUCUUGACGGUACCUAAUCAGAAAGCCACGGCUAACUACGUGCCAGCAGCCGCGGUAAUA